AACGAACGCUGGCGGCGCGCCUAAUACAUGCAAGUCGAGCGAGAAGGUGUAGCAAUACACUUGUAAAGCGGCGAACGGGUGAGGAAUGCAUGGGUAACCUACCCUCGAGUGGGGAAUAACUAGCCGAAAGGUUAGCUAAUACCGCAUACGUUUCCGGAACUUCGGUUUCGGAAAGAAAGCAAUACCGUGGGUAUUGCGCUCAUGGAUGGGCUCAUGUCCUAUCAGCUUGUUGGUGAGGUAACGGCUCACCAAGGCUUCGACGGGUAGCUGGUCUGAGAGGACGAUCAGCCACACUGGCACUGCGACACGGGCCAGACUCCUACGGGAGGCAGCAGUAAGGAAUAUUGCGCAAUGGACGAAAGUCUGACGCAGCGACGCCGCGUGGGGGAUGAAGGUCUUCGGAUUGUAAACCCCUUUCGGGAGGGAAGAUGGAGUGGGUAACCACUUGGACGGUACCUCCAGAAGCAGCCACGGCUAACUUCGUGCCAGCAGCCGCGGUAAUACGAAGGUGGCAAGCGUUGUUCGGAUUCACUGGGCGUACAGGGAGCGUAGGCGGUUGGGUAAGCCCUCCGUGAAAUCUCCGGGCCUAACCCGGAAAGUGCAGAGGGGACUGCUCAGCUAGAGGAUGGGAGAGGAGCGCGGAAUUCCCGGUGUAGCGGUGAAAUGCGUAGAGAUCGGGAGGAAGGCCGGUGGCGAAGGCGGCGCUCUGGAACAUUUCUGACGCUGAGGCUCGAAAGCGUGGGGAGCAAACAGGAUUAGAUACCCUGGUAG
rnacentral:rRNA from 1 species